GACGAACGCUGGCGGCGUGCCUAAUACAUUCAAUUAGAACGCAGUUGCUAACGGGUGAGUAACUCGUAGGUAACUGCCUCAUAGCGUGGGAUCACUAUUGGAAACGAUAGCUAAUACCUCAUACUGUGAGUUGGACCUUCUUUUUAUUAGCUAUUUGAUGAGGUAAAGGCUCACCAAGGCGACGAUACAUAGCCGACCUGAUAGGGUGAGCGGCCACACUGGGAAUGAGACACGGCCCAGACGCUGACGGGAGGAAGCAGUAGGGAGGAUUCGGGAAUGGACGGAAGUCUGACCAAGCAACGCCGCGGGAGUGAAGAAGGUUUUCGGAUCGUAAAGCUAUGUUGUUAGAGAAGCGGUAACUAACCAGAAAGGGACGGCUAACGACGUGCCAGCAGCCGCGGUAAUUC
rnacentral:rRNA from 1 species